GAUGAAGAACGCAGCGAAAUGCGAUACGUAAUGUGAAUUGCAGAAUUCAGUGAAUCAUCGAGUCUUUGAACGCACAUUGCGCCCCCUGGUAUUCCGGGGGGCAUGCCUGUCCGAGCGUCAUUGCUGCCCUCAAGCACGGCUUGUGUGUUGGGCCUCCGUCCUCCUCCCGGGGGACGGGCCCGAAAGGCAGCGGCGGCACCGCGUCCGGUCCUCGAGCGUAUGGGGCUUCGUCACCCGCUCUUGUAGGCCCGGCCGGCGCUUGCCGACACAUCAAUCUUUUUUCCAGGUUGACCUCGGAUCAGGUAGGGAUACCCGCUGAACUUAAGCAUAUCAAUAAGCGGAGGAA
rnacentral:misc_RNA from 1 species